rnacentral:rRNA from 1 species
GAAACUGCCUGAUGGAGGGGGAUAACUACUGGAAACGGUAGCUAAUACCGCAUAACGUCGCAAGACCAAAGAGGGGACCUUCGGGCCUCUUGCCAUCAGAUGUGCCCAGAUGGGAUUAGCUAGUAGGUGGGGUAACGGCUCACCUAGGCGACGAUCCCUAGCUGGUCUGAGAGGAUGACCAGCCACACUGGAACUGAGACAUGGUCCAG